rnacentral:rRNA from 1 species
CACGUAGGCACCAAGCGUUAUCCGGAUUUAUUGGGCGUAAAGAGCUCGUAGGCGGUUCGGUAAGUCGGGUGUAAAAACUCUGGGCUCAACCCAGAGAGGCCAUCCGAUACUGCUGUGACUAGAGUGCGGUAGGGGAGCGGGGAAUUCAUGGUGUAGCGGUGAAAUGCGCAGAUAUCAUGAGGAACACCAGCGGCGAAGGCGCCGCUCUGGGCCGUAACUGACGCUGAGGAGCGAAAGCAUGGGUAGCAAACAGG